rnacentral:rRNA from 1 species
GAUGAACGCUAGCGGCAGGCUUAAGACAUGCAAGCCGAACGGUAAGAUUUGUAGCAAUACGAGUCCUAGAGUGGCGUAAGGGUGCGUAACACGUAUGCAAUCUGCCCGCAACAGGAGUAUAGCUCCCCGAAAGGGGAAUUAAUGCUCCAUAGGAAUAUCAGAGGGCAUCUGAAGAUAUUUAAACCUGAGGGGGUUGCGGAUGAGCAUGCGCAUGAUUAGUUAGUUGGCAGGGUAACGGCCUACCAAGACG